UCCAAUUUGAUGACCCUUAGUUACCUGCACUUCCCUUCUGCUGAAAUUAAUUCUCAGAAGUAUCAUUUGCUAGAAUGGUCUAGAUGCUUGAGACAUGAUCUAAUAUCCCUUCAGUCUAACAGUUGUCAUGGGUCCUUGCAUCAUGGGUACAAGUUCUAUGUCCAGGAGAGAGAGGGGGACUUCUAGACUUGACACUUCUUUCUUGCAGCUAUCUUUUAGCAACAAACUCUCCUUCUUGGUUAUUUUUUUACACACAAGUUCAUCACCUUGCUGUGAGAUUAGCAUGUGUUCGAUUCUUGGAAAGGAACAGAUCAGUUUUUGUUGAGUUUGUUGAAAGUCAGUUUGAUGAAUAUUUGGAAAACUUGAGAAAUCCAAAUG